CCAGGGAGCUGGGCUGGCCACAGGAACGGGGUGACAGCCCCGAGAAGCCACCACAGCUCCCACAGCAAAGGACGGGGAGGAGAGGGGGGCAGGGAGGCUCAGACCAGCUCGUGGGUAAGCCCAGCACAGAGGGCAGGGCUGUGAAGCAGAAGGACAUGGAUUGAGCAUCCCCAGCCCUCUGCUCUCAGGUUCCAUGGUGGGAAUGGCAGCAAGCAGGGAGCAGGUCCCUGAGCAGAGCCUGAGAGCUGCACAGACCCCAGUCCCGCCCCAGGUCGAUACCAGUCUCUGGUUCCAUGAUGUCAGAUUGCAGAAUGGGCAUCCCAGGGGGGUGAUGAAGGUGACACCGAGCCACCAAGGAACCACAGCACUUCUCCUGCGGCGCUGCUGGCCAGCCUGACCUUCAGAGAUCGUUUUCCCUGCUCCAGACCAGCAGAGCAUCCCCCAGGACAAGCCCAGUGGAUGUUUUGAUUGGCUCCUUGAGGAGCUCAGGCAUUGACCUGGCUGUUUAAUGGCUCUCCCAAACACAACCCAAGGAGCCUGUGCAGCCUCCAGCCUGUCCUUGGGGUGUUAAAUGACUCCAGUCUCCCCUCAAGGGCUGGGGCCAUCUGCUCAGAAUGGGAAUUGAUCCAGCCUGACAGAAUUCCACGAUUCCAAAUAAAAAGCUGCAGCUGAAAUUACACAUGGAGUGGCCUCAAGGCACUCAGUUCCUCUCCAAGAGGAAUUUGCUCUUCCAACAGGAAGCUCCAUGGACCCAGCCCCAGUGCAAUGUGGAGAGGUUGAGGCAGGACCAUGCACGUCCCUCCUGAGGCUUCCAGGGCACCAGGGAGGCUGCAGAGGCUCUGCAGAGCCCCUUCCUGUUGGAAUGCUGGGGGACACAAGACAGAUGAUGGACUUUGGAUUUGAUAAGAGGAUGCCUUGGCAAAAGCAAACGGAACUUUGAAAAUCAGGCCUGGAUUGCAAAAGGUUCAAUCAGAUGGAUUGAAUAGAAAAAGAAAAUCCCAAUAAACUCUGCAAGUAAGA